AACAUUAUGUCAGGAGCUACGUUCUUUAAUUUCAGUGUUCUCUUCAUGUCUCUCAAACUCCUUCUUCCUUCAAAGCUGCUAUUCAAAGCUUCUGUGAAGUCGCAGGUCUCUUUGGUGGUGAUUAUGUCACAAAGAGGGAUCUUGUCAAAGUCACAAGGAAUGGAGGCAGUCGGGGAUUUUACCUGUCACCCUACUGUCAUUACACAUCUCUCUGGGGAUGAGGAGUAGAACAGCACAGGGAGAGGGAGGAGACAUUAGAAAACAACUGCUCAGAUGUCACCGGCCCACGUUAAAGGCAGAGUCUUCCAGGGUGCUGGAUUGUAGCUGAAUAGCACUAGACCACUACCCAACACAACACAUCACAUUUGUGUUAUUAAUGGUGUAACAUGAAUCCACUCAUGAAGAAACAUCAGGCAAGCCAGUUGAAAAACAUUCUGCAAAACUAACUGGACUGCAUUCUUCAAAAAUGUCAAUAUCAUGAAGGACAGGCAUUAAGGGACUGUUGCAGUUUUCCAGAAACUAAAGAGAUGUAACCAGGCACUCAAUGCAUGAGCUGGGAUUGUCUUUCCCUUGAAAGGACAACACUGGACAGUUGGUGAAAUCUGAAGGUCACAGACAGAUGGAGGCAUAAACACGGAUUGUCAGUACUACGUGGACAGAAGGUGAUGGCUCUGUACAGAUGCUCCGGCAGCAGAUAGUCCAGUCCUUUGGACCAAAAAGGGCUACCUGGAGAGGGUGGUUUCCCACCAGAAUCCUGAGGCGUGGGGAAGAGGAA